rnacentral:rRNA from 1 species
UACGGGGGGGGCAAGCGUUGUUCGGGAUUACUGGGCGUAAAGGGCUUGUAGGUGGCCAACUAAGUCAGACGUGAAAUCCCUCGGCUUAACCGGGGAACUGCGUCUGAUACUGGAUGGCUUGAGUGUGGGAGAGGGAUGCGGAAUUCCAGGUGUAGCGGUGAAAUGCGUAGAUAUCUGGAGGAACACCGGUGGCGAAGGCGGCAUCCUGGACCAUUACUGACGCUCAGGUGCGAAAGCGUGGGGAGCAAACAGG